rnacentral:rRNA from 1 species
AGAUGACUUAAGACUACCAUGCAAGUCGAACGGUGCACAGGAGGAGCUUGCUCCUUGGGUGACGAGUGGCGGACGGGUGAGUAAUGUCUGGGAAACUGCCCGAUGGAAGGGGGAUAACUACUGGAAACGGUAGCUAAUACCGCAUAACGGUGCAGACCAAAGAAGGGGGACUCCGGUUCGUGCUUCGGAGGGCUGUGUGGAUUGUGGUGGGGAGUUAUGGUUUGCUGGGAACAUCCCUAGCUGGUCUGAGAGGAUGACCAGCCACACUGGAACUGAGACACGGUCCAGACUCCUACGGGAGGCAGCAGUGGGGAAUAUUGCACAAUGGGCGCAAGCCUGAUGCAGCCAUGCCGCGUGUAUGAAGAAGGCCUUCGGGUUGUAAAGUACUUUCAGCGAGGAGGAAGGCGUUGUGGUUAAUAACCGCAACGAUUGACGUUACUCGCAGAAGAAGCACCGGCUAACUCCGUGCCAGCAGCCGCGGUAAUACGGAGGGUGCAAGCGUUAAUCGGAAUUACUGGGCGUAAAGCGCACGCAGGCGGUCUGUCAAGUCGGAUGUGAAAUCCCCGGGCUCAACCUGGGAACUGCAUCCGAAACUGGCAGGCUAGAGUCUUGUAGAGGGGGGUAGAAUUCCAGGUGUAGCGGUGAAAUGCGUAGAGAUCUGGAAGGAAUAACCGGUGGCGAAAGGCGGCCCCCUGGACAAAGACUGACCCUCAGGUGCGAAAAGCGUGGGGAGCAACAGGAUUGAAUACCCUGGUAGUCAACGCCGUAAAAGAUGGUCGACUUGGGAGGUUGUGCCCUGAAGCGUGGCCUCUCGGAAGCUAACGCGUUAAAUCAACGCCUGGGGAAUACGGCCCAGGUUAAACUCAAUGAAUGACGGGGCCGCCAACGGUGAACAUUGUUAAUCGUGCACGCGAAGACUACACUCUGACUCAGGAACUACAAGAGGCGUCUGGUUCUUCGGAAUCUAUUGGAACAGGGCCCCCA